rnacentral:lncRNA from 1 species
AACAUAUGGAUGUUAAGAUAGGACUGUUCACCCCUAAUAUUUUGUGCCUUCCCUCUGCUCAGCUUUCCUCUAAAGCAGUAUAAGUAAGCACAGUAUGAGACAGGAUAUCAGAUAGGGUGAACUUGCACAAAAGACCUGAGAACUCUUUCUCACAUCAUUUAAUGUAUACAUUUCCAUUGUAAUUGCACAUAUACAUGUGCAUAAACUCUGCAGUGCUGCAUGCAUAGAAUUUCCUGCAGAAAUACAUGUUGCUGUAUGGAUUCCUGACACUACCACCAUCCAUUAUUAUUUUUUAAAAAACACACAAUAUAAUUCUAGUUCUCAAGGAAAUUGAAAUAAUAUUUUAAACCAUGUGCUGUAUCUGCCAGAGGUUCCAGUGUUCAAAUGAUAGAGUUUUGGUGCUUGUUGUACUUCCUUGUUCACGUAUCCCACAACUCACAACUGACCCGUUCCUUGCCUCCUGCCACCCUACUGCUGCUUCCCCCAAAUAGUUUAUGUUUUGCAAAAAGGUAAGGCAUGGGGCUCAGAAGAAAGUUGAGCCCAUGCUUUACCUUCAUACUUCACACCAAAUGAACAAUAUGGUUAUAAUAAGGAAGCACAUUUACAAAAAAUAAAAGGAUUGUUUAUUUACAUGAUUGAACUCAAGAUGUGGGGUAGAUGCCAUUAUUUCUUCCUGAUUUAGAACCUGAUUUCUAGAACACAUUCGCUACUUUCCCAACCCCAUCAAGUAACCCAGGAUCAACAAGAGCUGGUGUGCUCAACAGAGAAGUUGUGAGACUGCAUCUGUUGAAGUUUGGCACAUUAUAGAAAUGUGGGGAAGGAAUAUAGCUCAAUGGUACAAUGGCACAUGCUUUGCAUGUAAGAGGUCCCAGAUUCACCCCCUGGCAUCUCCAGGUAGGCAGGGGCUGGGGAAGACCCCUGUCUGGAACCCUGCAGAGCUGCUGGUGGUCAUUGUCGAUCAGAGAAGGGGAACCCUCUAGCCCUCCAGAUGUUGGUGGACUCUAGCCCCCUCUGUCAGCAUGGUCCAUGGUCAGAUAUGGUAUCCAAUGACAUCUGGAGGGCCACAGGUUCUUAAUCCCUGGUGCAGAUCGUACUGAGCUAGAAGAACCAAUGGUCUGACUCUGUUUAAGGCAGCAUCCUAUGUUCCUGGAUAUAUUCUAUGGGGCACAGCCAUCCAGCCCACUCAAUGGCAGCAUUAUAGUCAACUUGACCAUGUGUUCAUAUUCCAACAUGCUUUCCAUCUACCCUCAGUGCAUAUAGUUGAUUCUCCCAAGCCCCUGGCAGAAAUAUCACACAUUUAACAGCUGUAUGGCAGACAGAAACCCUGUCCCAUUGCUGAAUCUGCAUGCAAGGAAAGGCUUUGCCUGGUUUCUGCCUUUCAUGCAGAGGUAAAAGCCUCAGCAGUCUUGCUGGUGGGGAGAAGCAACCCUGUUCAGUUAGUAGGCUGCAUAUUUCACCAGCCUCGGCACUCUGUGAAUUUGCUGAAAGUCCCAAGACGCGUUGAAAUUCCAUCAGAAAUGGCUGGAAUUGAAGGUUGGAGUGGGAAAUGAAACAUCUCUGAUAGGAGGGCAAACUAGGUCACCAUUGUGGUUCUCUCUAGCCUGUAGAUUUGUGUUACAGACAGCUAGGCUCCCCUUUUGAAGCAAAGCAUUCUUUCACAUGGAUGUGAAGUGACUGUUUCCAUACCUUUGGCCAAAACAAUACCUCCUGCCAUCCCCUAAGAGCAAAAAAUGCCAAGAACAUUCAUUCUGGCAUGUGAACUAUAUGGCAACGGCAGAGCGCGCUGUCGUGAGCCAAGGAAAAUACCUCCUGACAUUCCCUUAGAAAAAUAAAAGCCUAGGUUUCCUCGCAAUAUGAAAUAACUUGAAUAUUAAAAACAAACAGAGGCCCAGUAACAGGGUCGAGAUGCAAAGAGUAAUUCCUCAUACAGCUGAAGUUUUGCAUGCAAAGAUGUGUCAUGGCGAUGGGAGCCUCGCUUGUGGUAGCUUCACCCACAUGCAACCAGAAGUAAGUAGAAGGAAAUAUGAUGGCACUGGCACUGGCCAGUAGGCAACCACAAUACUAAUACAACGGCCAUCCACCCCACACACAUGCUAUUUCAUCUGCAAUACUUCUACUCCCCGGACAAAUCGAUCACCCAAUCAAUCCUUGAAGUGGUAUCAUCUUUCUCGUCUGUAUGGAUGUAUAUGCUCACUUUUGCAUGACUGGAACUUAUCUCCAGAACAGAGGUAAACCCGCACUGAUUGAUCUGUACACUUUGCCUUUGGCCCCAUCCACCACUUACAUGAGGGCCCUGGAAAGUUCAGACUAAGGGAAAGCAAUGUUUGGGUUGGGUUCCCCACCCCAUGGGGACAGAUAGAAAAGGACACCUUCAUCCCAGUAUGGCUCCCCUUUAUCACAUGCACAGCUCAACGAGACAACCCACAGACUGCAUAACAAAAAAUAUGGCUUACCUGACCCAACAAUCCCACCCACCACCCUCACAAAUGCAAACAAACCUCACUUCAGCCAACUACAGACAACCAACCACACCCUGGGCCCCCCAAUCCCUCUCACUACC